rnacentral:misc_RNA from 1 species
UUUCCGUAGGUGAACCUGCGGAAGGAUCAUUAUUAUAUAACCCAUAUGCGAGGGCUGUCGCUAACUCGAAAGGCCGUGCACGCCCGAUUUCUCUUACACACAUCCAUCUCACCCCUAUGUGCACCACCGCGUGGUUCCCCCUUUGGCUUGUUCGGAGGGGGGCUUACGUUUUCACACAAACUUUGUAUGCAGUGUAGAAUGUAUUUUUUUCUUUUGCGAUCACGCAAUCAAUACAACUUUCAACAACGGAUCUCUUGGCUCUC